ACCGACAUGGAUGGCGGCGGUUCCACGCAGUAGUGAGUUUCAGUUAUUGCUGAAACUCAUAGUGAAAAUCGGACAUCCGUGUCCGAUUUUCACGGGC
rnacentral:sRNA from 1 species